rnacentral:tRNA from 130 species
GCGCUCGUAGCUCAGCUGGAUAGAGCAUCGGAUUUCGAUUCCGAGGGUCGGGAGUUCGAAUCUCUCCGAGCGCGCCA